UGGGCAGUAUCAUUGGAACUGCACCUUUAUGGAAUCCAAUAAUUGAAUUUUACUGCCUGUAUCCAUUAUGGACCAGGACAGAGGG
rfam:Desulfitobacterium metallireducens DSM 15288, complete genome.